AUGUUUUUAAAAUAUCAGAUGUGUCAUGAAAAUGUUGAAUUUCCUCACUACACAUAAAUACGAGCAUUUCUGCAUCUCACCGGUAGAAACGGGCCAGCUACAUUUACUGGUUGUAAGCAAACCACAAUAUCCAGAAUUCAUAGCGAUUUCAGGACGUGGAGGACCGCCCGGUGGAGGAGUAGGGUAUCCAAUUGAUGGGUGAAAAAUCAAAAUGUCUGAUUUUGUAGCCAGCACUUUCAGCCAGUUCUAAACGGAACUGAAGUCACAACUGAUGGGGUUGCUAUGUCGUCAAACAUUGAAACGUGAUGCUAUUCCAGUGAAUUUCCCCUUCACUUCAAAGAGGAAGGCAUCCGAUCAGCCGACAUCAGUGCAGCAGAAAAGAAGGCAAGCUGAGGAGACUUGGAGUACAUACAAAGCUUCUGCAAGAGGUCGAAGCAGUGGGUGGUGAAGAACACCGCCACCGCGCCAAUGCCUGCUAAACCAAAUGCCAUUACCCAACACAAGAAGAGGUUCACCAGCUGAAGAACAUUCAGGACCCUGCCUGGAACAUUCAGGCAACACAACGUACAUAUUCAGUUAGACUGAUGUUGUAGUAUAAUAUAGAAUGCCCAGUAUGCUCACAACUGCAUUGUGGUAUAGAUAUUUCUAGCUCUUGUACAUAUGUAUAUAAUGGUGUUAUAUAAUAUUUUUGAAUGUAUUAGAUUCAGUGAGUAAACAAUUCCAGGUGCAUCAGAAACCAAUAAAGUGUUGACUUCCA